AAAUCUGUAAAUCAACUGCAUUGAAUUUUCUAUUAGCUUUUAAAUAUUCACCUCAAUAUACAUUUGUUCUUCAGGGCACACAAGAGAUAAAUAAUUGAGUUAACAUUGCUAGAUAAAUCAAAUCUUUUUCCUGAGCUGCAAAUAUUCCAGAUUAUAACCUUGAAGUUGCUAUGCAGUAACUACAAAUGGAAACUAAACAGAUCAAAGUGAGCAAGCAGGAGUCCACACUCAAGUACCCAGAGGCCCAAAUUUCUGAGACACCCAGGAGCAGCCCCAGCAUUUCAGAUUGCUGAGUCAAGACCAAAUGAAAUGUAAAAUCCAGCUUAAGCAUGGGGUGCAGGAGCAGCCUGGGAUUUGGGCUUGGGCCAUGAACAAUGUAAGAGCAUGAGAUUUAAAACAAACAAAACACCCUCAAAACCAAGCCCCACAGCAAUUUUGGGUAUAGCUGUGGUUUUGAAUGUCUAAAUAGAUUGUGGUGACUUUCAGCCACAGAUAAUAGGAGACCUAAUUCCAUUCUGGCUUCAGGAUUUUCUCUGCACUGAGUAGAGGAGUAGAGUUCAUAAUUGAAAUUACUCCCAUGCAGUUCCCAAUAGUGCCCUUGCAGAUGGAAGUGGACAGAAGGAAUUAACAGCUUCAGUUAAACUCUGCUGGAAAACCAGUUUUUUAUGAGCUGCAGACUGGUGCUGACAGCACCAGGACAACAGGUGAAGUCAGAUAAACAGCACAGAAAAUGGUUUUCUAGCUAGGACUAUCAGCUGCUAGCCACCUGUGCAUAUGUGGAUAAUAAUGCUUUCCAUGCUCUUCCCUAGAGGACAGGCAAACUCCUCAAAAAAAGAGGAUAGGUAAAAAUAAGGGCAAUAAGAAUCAGCUACACAGAACUCUUCUGCAAUGCUGUGGAGAACUUUUAUCACAACACCUGUUGUGUUGGUGACUGAACUGAUCAGUUAUGCUGCCGUGCAGAUCAACUCCAGGGGCUCUUUGCAAGCUUCUCUGCUGACCUACCCAAGGAAAUAACAAUGUGGGAACUAAAUUCAGUCCCAGGAUGGGCACUCCGCUCCAGCUCUGAGGAAGUUGGGAUUUAAAUUCAAUCCCAGGAUGGGCACUCUGCUCCAGCUCUGGGCAAGUUGGGAUUUGACUGUCUCAGAUUUGAGCAUAUAUGUUUCAGUGCACGUGCAUUUUGAUCAAAAGCAAAAACUUUUAUCUGUUGUAAAAACUACUUUUUAUGGCAGCCAGGAAGAGAGAUACAAAAGGAUUACAGGGCAGAUUAACUUUGUGUGGGAGAGAGCAAUGCACCAUCCCAACUGCCUCUCAGGUUUAUGAAUGCUCCUCAAUAAUCUUAUCCAUCUUAUUUUAGGUUGUUUCCACUGGCUUCUGGCACUGCAUCAGGAGUGUUAACAGUUCAUUGCUAGGACCACACAGAGCUGAGGUGUUUUCCUUGUGCUACAGCCCCUGCAGACAGACUGGGUGGAAGUUUUUGAUUCUGAACUUUGAGAUUCUCAUCUGGAAGACUGAAGGCUGAGUUUCCACAGCAAGGAACAAGCUCCAGGUCUGUUCUGUUUGCUCUUGCCCACUACUGGCAAAUUUUACACAUCAACUCAAGCUGCAGCAUUAUAAUAAUAAUUAAAUUAUAUUAGCAUUGCUAAUAUUAUUUUUCUAUUUUUCUCAGCAAAGUAACAGAGUUAAUGAUUAAGACUGGUGAAAUAAUCUGCUAGACUGGAGGGAACACCACCUCCUUAAAUGAUAACACACCAGAAAUGGAUGCUGCAGCUGGAGGACUCAAACUACCCCCAGAUAUUCAGAGCUCUUCAGAGAGCCACUGCACCAUGCACGUUCCAAACCUACCCAGCCCAGGGCAUGCAGCUUCCCAGGGCACAGCAGAUGCAGUCUCUAAGGGCAGAGCAUAAAAACCAGUGGAAAACAAUCAAGGCUUGCCUUCCAGCCACUCCAGCAACUUCUGAAGUCAUUAUAAAUUCAUUUGGCAGAGGAGUGCCAUGAGCACUUCGUGCAUGCAGAGAAACACAUUUCAAAUGAGCACUCAGAAGAUGAGGAAAAGGCAAAUUUCCCUGGGUGGCUGAUAGCUCUGGAGUGCUUGGCACCAUGCUGACACCAUGGUGAGCCACUGACACCAGCAGGCUUUCCUGGAAAAGACAAGGCCCUUUAAAGAACAAGUUGCUACAUAUUUAAAGUAGCAGAAAGGACACAUCAUGAGGUUAGGGUACUCCAAGAGAUUACAGUAAAAUAAAGGAGGAUGGAAAUCAGUGCUUUGGUGUCCAUCCAAAGGACAGUGACUGGCCACAACAACCCCUUUUCUAACAGCAUGUGCACAGCAGGUGUGUGCAAACAGGAAUGUACAGCUGGAAUUUCCCUUGCAUACACAAAAAAAAAAAA